GCGCUCUCUUCAGCAGCAUCUGAACUAAAAUUGGAACGAUACAGAGAAGAUUAGCAUGGCCCCUGUUCAAAGAUGACGUACAAAUUCGUGAAGUGUUCCAUAUUUUA
ensembl:snRNA U6 U6 spliceosomal RNA